GCCUUCCUGAUCUAAGUUAUGGGAAAGUGGACUUUUAUUUUCUAUUUAAAGAAAUAGGAGUCUUCGUAAUGCAUUAGUAAUUCUAGCCAAAAAGUGUUUGAUAUGAACUUGAUUUCACAAAAGAAGGCAGUCUUCAACAUACUCACCCAUUUCUGCUCAGAAGCAUCAUCACUUUCAGUUUUUACAAAAAGUAAAAACUAUUUUGGAAUUGGAAAUGAAGUCACUUUUAAUGCAACAAUCCCCACACAAAGUUUAAGAAAAAGGAACAAAUAAUUUUUUUUUAACUAGAAAAGGUUUAUUGAACUUAGUGAGAAUUUGGUAUUUAUAAUCAAAUACAGUAAAUUUUAGCAGAAAUGUACCAUGCUUAUUACAGGGCAAUCUCUCCAUCUUUAGUAUUCCUUUAUUAUUUUCACUCAUCUUCUGCUUUUCCACUAGACUCUUAAAAAAACACUUUAAGCUUCUUUCAUUGAUAUAUAAUAGUUGUACAUAUUUAUGGGGUACAUGUGAUAUUUUGAUAAAAGCAUCCAAUGUGUAAUGACCAAGUUGGGGUAACUGGAACAGCCAUCACCUCAAAAUUGAUCAUCUCUUUGUGUUGGGAACAUUCCAAAUCUUCAAGCUAUUUUGAAAUAUACAAUAGAUUAUUGUUAACUAUAGUUUUCCUCUUGUGCUACUGAACACUAGACCUUAUUUCUUCUAUCCAAUUGUACUUUUGUACCUGUUGCCAACCCCUCUUCAUCCCACUACCCUUCCCAGCUUCUAGUAACCACUA
rnacentral:lncRNA from 1 species